AGAAGGAAGAAAGCAAGAGCAAGAGAGAGGGGGUUCGGCACCGCUUCAAAAGAAAUUUUUGAGCUCAAAUUUUUAGUCCAAAAAAAUUCAUCCAUUGUUGAAUUAAUACUAAGAUCAAGGUCCUCUUCUAUGUGAUACCAAUUUGGAAGCAAAAGAGUGUUUUUUUUUCAAAGAAGAGAAUUUGGAAAAAGAUUUUGGCGAACUUGAGAUUCGAUUUUCGAGACGAGUAGGAAGCGAAAGAGGUACAGAGGUUCGUGAUUUAUCAGUGUAGGCCACACAUUCUGCUAUUACAGAGUGCUCCUUUUGAUCCGGAGCCCUUAUGUUGGUACCUAUCUUCUGCGAUGUUUAUGCUUUUGUAUAUUUGAUUAUUUGGGGUACGGCGGGGCCCUAUCCCGUCAUAUGAUUCCGUUUUGGUUUGUAGAGGCCGGUAGUCAUAUAUGUAGGUAAUGGGUCAUGUGUGUGUGUUCGUUUGUCUAUGAUCUACAUCUGAAUGCGGUCCCGUCGGUUAUGGCGGCCAUAAUGGCCCGUAUGUUUAUAUAUGUGUAUAUCUGAUCGACGAUGUGUAUUUCGCCGCCCCUUCUGACUAUGACAUGAUAAUUUUUACACGUGCGACCGCUUAAGAUAAUGUUUGUUUUCAAUCUGUUUGAGAUGAUUAAUAUGAAAGUCUGGGAUAGAUAAAAAUAUGUCGAGUCAGUAUGUAAGUCUGUUUGGGGUGUCCAAAUAGGACAUCAUUCGCGGGCCACGGAGCUGGGUCGUGAUAAAAGUGGUAUCAGAGCGGUUUGUUCUCGGAAUGUCUACAUGCCGUGUCUCGUAGAGUCUUAUUUAUCGGUGUGUUGUGCACCACAUCUAUAAACAGGAGGCUGCAUGA